UACGUAGGGGGCAAGCGUUGUCCGGAUUUAUUGGGCGUAAAGAGCGUGUAGGCGGUUUUACAGGUCCGUUGUGAAAACUCGAGGCUCAACCUCGAGACGCCGGUGGAAACCGUAAAGCUAGAGUCCGGAAGAGGAGAGUGGAAUUCCCGGUGUAGCGGUGAAAUGCGCAGAUAUCGGGAAGAACACCCGUGGCUAAGGCGGCUCUCGAGUACGGUACUGACGCUGAGACGCGAAAGCGUGGGGAGCGAACAGG
rnacentral:rRNA from 1 species